rnacentral:rRNA from 1 species
UACGAAGGGGGCUAGCGUUGCUCGGAAUCACUGGGCGUAAAGCGCACGUAGGCGGCUUUCUAAGUCGGGGGUGAAAUCCUGGAGCUCAACUCCAGAACUGCCUUCGAUACUGGAAAGCUCGAGUCCGGGAGAGGUGAGUGGAACUGCGAGUGUAGAGGUGAAAUUCGUAGAUAUUCGGAAGAACACCAGUGGCGAAGGCGGCUCACUGGUCCGGUACUGACGCUGAGGUGCGAAAGCGUGGGAG